UACGGGGGGGGGCAAGCGUUGUUCGGAAUUACUGGGCGUAAAGGGCGCGUAGGCGGCUUGGCAAGUGGAUGGUGAAAUCCCUCGGCUUAACCGAGGAACUGCCGUCCAAACUGCUUAGCUUGAGACCGGGAGAGGUGAGUGGAAUUCCCAGUGUAGCGGUGAAAUGCGUAGAUAUCUGGAGGAAUACCGGUGGCGAAGGCGGCAUCCUGGACCGAGAUUGACGCUGAGGAGCGAAAGCUAGGGGAGCAAACGGGG
rnacentral:rRNA from 1 species